CACGUAGGGCGCAAGCGUUGUCCGGAAUUAUUGGGCGUAAAGAGCUCGUAGGCGGUCUGUCGCGUCGGAUGUGAAAGCCCGGGGCUUAACCCCGGGUCUGCAUUCGAUACGGGCAGACUAGAGUGUGGUAGGGGAGAUCGGAAUUCCUGGUGUAGCGGUGAAAUGCGCAGAUAUCAGGAGGAACACCGGUGGCGAAGGCGGAUCUCUGGGCCAUUACUGACGCUGAGGAGCGAAAGCGUGGGGAGCGAACAGG
rnacentral:rRNA from 1 species